ACUCCUACGGGAGGCAGCAGUGGGGAAUUUUGGACAAUGGGGGAAACCCUGAUCCAGCCAUGCCGCGUGAGUGAAGAAGGCCUUCGGGUUGUAAAGCUCUUUCAGCCGGAACGAAACGGUCACGGUUAAUACCCGUGACUACUGACGGUACCGGAAGAAGAAGCACCGGCUAACUACGUGCCAGCAGCCGCGGUAAU
rnacentral:rRNA from 1 species